AUGCUCUACGAAAUUCACCACCAGGUGCCACUCCAAGUUGUUUAGAAAUAUAGGCUACCAUUCUCAAUAAUAAAACAUAUAAUAAUCCAUUGUAGAAUCCAUAUUUUGAUAGUAAUUCGGUAAUACUUUCUGUAGAAUUAAUAUAUAUGAAUGCAAAGAAAAAACAAAGAGACAAAAGAGCGAAAGAGAGGGAGAAAGAUUUUAUAGGUUUGAAACCUUAGAACGUUAGCUGUUUCAAAGUGCCCCUUCAAUAAAACUAUAUCGACUAAAUAAACUAUUGACAAGAACAAAGUACAGGUGACAAAAAAGUAAGUUACCUCCAUUAGAAGUCGCACCAAAUGCACUGACCAAAGUACAAUUUUGACUUUUCUGAAAGGAAAUACGAUUUAUUGUGAAGAAGAAAAUAAUAAUUACAUACACAUCAACACAUCUUCAGUAGAAUUGAAGAUCAAUUGGAUUACUUUUCAUUACAAAGCACUGAAAUGUACUAGCUGUGUCGAAAAAAUGGAUAAUAGCUUUUCGUAGUUAGAAUGUGCGAACUGUUAGUCUUGGGACAAAAAUUAGAAAAUUUCUUUUGAAAUAUUAGUCUUGUAACGAUCUGAUGUUUGAAAUAAAAAACUUUCCGUUAAAGAAGUCGAAGAAUGGAAAAGAGUGGAAGAAUAAAAUAUUCUGAAAGUUAUUAUAUUUGAAAAAAAAACGGGAAUUCAUGACAGCGGCAACCAGGAAUAGAAUUUGGAAAGACGUGAAUUCACAUCAGCGGCCGCGAAUGUGUUAAGAAUGGCAAGCUAUCAAAACACUAAAUUUUCUAAAAUUAAAACAUAGUAUCUAAAGCAUAUAUUCAUAAAGUGGAGAAAAUAAAGAUGUCUUUUGGUAAAGGAACUGUAAAUGAUCGCACUGAAUUUAUCUUAAAAACCGUCAUAAAGUGUUCAUCGUUCAUGUUUCAAAUACACAUUUUCUUAACAUACACAGAGUGUCGCAAACAAAUGUUAUCACACUUUAAUUAUUUAUACAGUGUUUAUUAAAUAUCAUACAAUAUGUUUAUAACAAGCUACAUUAACGUUUUCUUAAAGUGUAGUAACAUUUUUUUGCGACAUCCUGUAGUUAUUAUUGUCGAAAAAUUAAAAAAAGAAUACGUACAUCUCCCGUUACAGCUAUUGGAGUCGUCCCUGUAGCAAUUGCUACUUGAUGUUCAAUUAAGUAGAACAUAUACUCAUCAUAUAAUAACCGCAUGAGGUGAAAGGACCCGAAGCUAGCUGCGCUUCUUAAAGUGAGAUCACGAAUGACCAUGGAACUGUCGAAUAAAUAGUACAAGGAAAAAGUAAUUGAUUAAUUACAUUUUAUAUAAAUAUGCUAAUUAAUUCUCCGCCGGUAACAUGCUUUUUUAUUAACGCGGUCAGCAAUAUAAACCUUCUAUGAUCAGACCUGACCCAUCAUUGUUGCAAGUUCUGUAAAAAUCUAAAAAAAUUCUAAAACAUUUAUUAUAGUCCUUGCUUUAAUGCAUAAAUGACACUUUAGUUAAAUCUUCUUAUCAUUUUGCAAUAAAAAUUAAAAAUCGAGGUGAAGUCGUGAAAAAAUGAGAUUCUGCUUAAAGAUGCAUAACUUUGUAAUAAGAAAAUAUUAAACGAAGAUACUGUAGGAUUUUAUUCAUAAGAGUAUGAUCUUUCGAAAAAUUAUAAAGAGAUUUGCCAACUAUUGAAAAAAUAUAAUUAUUUCGAGAUUUCAAUUUGGGAGAUUUCUCAGUAGGUUAUAUCAAUGGAAAAUAAAGUAAAACAUUAUUCUGAAAAAUGAAAUUGUAAACGAUGUAUAAAACUAUGUACUGUAAUACUGUAAACUGUACUAUUGCUCUGCAUUGAAUAUUUCUAAAAUAGUUUAACAAACCACAUUAAGGGAACAAAAAUUAUUUUAUCCUCUUAAAACUUAGAAUUGAACUGAUCACGAAAAACGGUAGUUGGAAUGUCUAAUCUCUAUAGGUACAAGAUUUUUUAGGUGGUAGCUAACCAUGCUAUUUUUUAGAUAGUAGUAACCCAGGCAAUCCGACUUCUCCGUUUUGGAGAAGCUAAACAAUGAAAUUAUCAACAGGACUAUAAAUGGUCCAUAUUGCCGGCGGAGGGUUAAGUACAUUUUUUAAAUACAUAUAUUUGGAAGUUACCUAUAAAAGGACCACUUGAGCAAAAAUUGACGUGCAGCUUUUGCAAAGGUGGGUUUCUCUUCGAAUGGUUUAAGAACUUGCGUCACAACACUUUUCAACCAAAUCGCCCAAUCUUCUAAUGAAUUUUGUUGUUGUAAUGUUACUUUAAAAUCUGCCUCUAAGCGUUGCACCAUUGCGUAAUCACACUGACAAACCCAAGAAGCCUGAAAAAGAUCGAUUUAUACAUUCUGUGCAAAUAUCAAUUGUAUAGAGAUCCAAUUGUAUUCUCUUAAUGGAAAUACCUGUUCUUGUACAUUAUGGAAAUCAACACGAUUCAAAUCCGCUAACAUCUGAUGUAUUUGACUCGGAUUUUGAAGUACUGCACGCGCGGCUUGAGCAAGGUGAUUUAAAGACGUGUAACGCCUUAAUGUCUGAGCAAAUGCCGAUACAGCUGUUAACUGAAAUAAAAUUUACUUACUUAGAAUUAAUUUAUAAACAUAUAAUCUAUAAGACUACUCUACUGAUACCUUUAUUUGAGUCAUCUCUUCUGGACAAUCAGCCAUUGCUGAUGUUAACCAAGAUUCUAAUCCUUUCGCAAAAUUUCGAAUAGAUUGUGUCAAUGAGCCUGAAAUUAUCACGAAAUGUAUCAAAAUCCCAGGCAUAUAAACAAGAGAAUGGCAUUACUUACUCGGUAUGGGUCGCAAUACAUUAGGCAUUAAUACUUCAACCAAGUUUUGAUAAAAUGUGUAGUCUACUUUCCUAAUGAAAUCUUGAACUUCCGAACACUUACACAUCUGAUACAAUUUGGUUCUAAAUACAUGAUAGAUUGAAUUAAAAUACUGUUUAGUUAGGAAAAGAAAGUUUUACUUUAAAUGUGAACUUACUUCGAUAAAUAUUUUUCUUCUUCACACUCAUCCCCAUUAUUAUUGUCUUGACUACGCCAAAAUUCUCUCCAAAGGCUUUCCACGGUAGCAAAUUCAAAAGUAAGAACAGCAUCCAAAAAUGCUUCACAAUGUUCCCUGUAUAUACUUCGAAAUGUAUCGAUGUCUUCUAACGUACAAUCCUCAGGAAGGGAGGAUCCAUGGCCAACUAUUAUUUCAGGGAAUUCUGGAAUUGCACCACUCGCUUCACCAAGAUACUGAUGGUACUGUGGCGGUGAAGCAUUUGAAGAAAUAUUCGUAUUUGAAUGUGUAUUAUUUUCGUACGUAGUAUCCUGCUUUUGAUUUACAAAUUUGAAUCGUUUUGUUUGAGAAUUUGCACUUUGUUGCUGUCGGGGUGUCCCAUCUUCAUUUAACAUCAUCAAUGGAGAACUAGGUUUCACUCUAAUUCCAUAGUAAUGAUAUUUUGAAUUUCCUCUAUAAAGAAAUAUAAUCAUAAUUUAUUAAUUCGUUAAAACACUAACUGUUUUUUUUUUAACCCUUUCGAUACGGCUAUGUGGUUCGCGAGUAUAGUUCUGGAUACUCGAAUUGCGAACAAGAUUUUACUGUACGGAACAGUUACAACGCAAAUCCAUAUUUUACUGUGAAGAGAUCCGUAAUCGUACAAGUAAAACAGCUGUGUUAUUCGAUUAACACUAGAACUACCAGACAAUACAAGAUAAUCCAUUUUGGAUUUCUUCCUUUACAAUUUUUGGAAAAGAUACAAAUGCUUUCUUAAAAUACAUAUUAGAUAAGAUGCUUGGUAGUUAUAGUAUUAAAGCUGUGAACCAAUACAAAACAUCGAUAGGUGAUUAUAGUCACCAUUAGAAUAAGGUAAGCGUGUAGUGAUGAGUAAUUAUAGUGACACCAUGAGCACGAAAUAAUGGGUGAACUAUAGUCAUCAGUAGUAUCGAAAGGGUUACACAAAAUGUAAGAUUUUUACCUGGUGCCUAACCGUCUGGUUCUUAAACCCAAAAAGACAGAGCGAAUUAAUUUUCCAAAGCUUGCUGCAUUUACAGGAUCUAAUUUAUUUUCAGAACAAUGACGUAAAUAAUGAUUGUAAAGGGUAGACCUUGGAAGAGAGACACCAUCUGCUGUUUCAUAAUUUUCAAGCAACCAGUGAACCUAAUUAGAUAAUAAUUGAUAUGAUUUCCAAGUAUAGAAGAAACUUCUAUUUUUCCUAACUACAAUACAUUGUAUUAGGUCGUGUAAUAUGAAAUGUCGGAUUUUGCGGAGAAAAAGAAACUUUAAUUGAUGUUCUAAAAGACGUUUAUUCGACCAAAAUAUGCUCUAUUCGAUUCGAUACACUUCUGCCAACAUGAUUUUAAUGAGUAUAUUCUUUUUAGAAUUAGUAAAUUCUAAAGACAUCGUUAUAAAUUACUAUUUCGGGUUUACCACGCGGUUAAUUUCGCAAAGAAAUAUCAUCCAAACGAAAUUUUACAAAUCAACGCUGUACUGUUCUUUUAUUCACAAUAUUGUCUCCAAAUGCUUUGUUUAUAUUUCAAACGCUUUCUGCAGCAUUUUUUUCAAGUUUGAAUUCAUGCAAGAAAAUUACACGAAUGUUGCCGGUAUCCAUGUUUUCAAAAAAUGAUGCAAGAAAUAGUUAUUAUACAUGAUUCGGAAAAACUUUUUGUAUGAAAAACAAAGGAAUAACAAUUGUAGGAGUACAAACACUUAUGAGUAAGAAAAAUCCGACAUUUCAUAUUACACAAUCUAAUGUAUGUUACAAAAGGAACAUAACAUUACAAACUACUUUUAACAUUCUUAGUUACUACCAGUAUAUAUGUUAGAAAAAAAAAUUCUCUAUGUUACUGCACAAGUGGAUGGAACCUUAAACUUUAUUUUACAAAAGCAUCCCUAAAGAAAUUGCCGAUGGACAUGCUACCAUGAAUUAGUAUACAGCGAAGCCUGUAAAUAGGGAUUAUGUAUCAGCUUACUGUUGCUUGGGAAACUCUAGUAGCAUGCGUCAUGUUUGCUGCUGCAGCUGCAGCAUCUUCCACGGUGACUGUAGUACCUCCUGAAUUACCGCUGAUCAAGUAUGCCCCUCCACCCCCGCUAACCACAGUUUCCUAUCAAACAACCCAAGACACCAAUAGCUCAUUAAACCCCAAUUAUAAGAUCCACAAUGUUUCUCGUUAUAGAUUUUCAUUCACUGGAGAAUAAAAUGUAUUUCUACUAGGAAUAAUUUCAUGAUUAUCAUUCAUGUUUCAUUCCAAAAAUGUAGUAUCCAAUAAAUACUACCCUUUCCAUCCCCUUAUUAUCAUGCAGGGCUCCCAUGCCUGCAAUUUCUAAACGUUUACUCACAAGAAAGUAAAUAAAAUAAAAGCAGUCAAGGGUAAUCAUUAUAAACAUGCAUUUCUAUCUUACCGCAUUUUCCGUUUGUGGACUAGCACGUGCUGCAGCUGCAGAUAUUAAUGCAUGUGCAGUGGGAUCACCAUCCACAACACUUUGUUGGAUCAGAUACGUGCCAUUACCCUGAGAUAAUAACUGUCCAGUAGUCGAAUUCGAACCUUGCCCAGUAACCUAAAUUCAUACAUGUAUCACUAAUAACACAUUUAAAUAAAUUUUCUGAUAUAAAUUGUAUAGUAUAUCGUUAGUAUAUUAAAAAAUUGUCAUACUUUACCUGUGCAUAUGUUACUGGUGUAGAUGCUGGUGUAUAAUAUUGGCUCGAAGCAGGAGUAUACAUUGCUCCUGCUUCUCCAACAGCGUAUACAGGAUAUGUCCUACAAAUACGCAACUUUAUCAUUAUUUUAUUACUUUCUAUUAUCAACAUUUUCAUUUGAUAUAAUAUUUCUCUACUUACAUCUGACCAUUUGUCGGUAUAUACGUGGAACCAUCCCCCUCAACAUAUUGAACAUAGGUAGGAUGAGAAACUGAUUCGGACCCCACUGCCUCUGGUUCUCCUGAUACUGAAACAAACAUAAUAAACUUUAAUCUAUAUGCAGUAAAUAAUCUUUCCAUUUAAAUAAAGCUUUACAGAGAAUACACAACACUUAAGUACUGUAGGAUUGUACUUGUUCAAAGAAAUUAAUAGAAAAUAUGUGUACUUUUGACGUGCUCUGAAUUUAAUAUUCACAUACUUAUAUUUCUUUUUCUUCAUAGUAUCAUUAUGCAGAUAUAACUGUUAUGUAUGAAUAAUAUACUGAUUCAUGCAAAAUCAGGUGUUCACCAACAAAGAAUAUGUUGUAGUUCUAUAUGCAAGGUGUCCCGAAUUUUGUCGGUCAAACUGCGGGAGCAUAUUUUACAAGUGGAAACAUGAAAAAAAUGUUAUUUAAAGUUCGAUUAAAAACACUUUAUUACGAAGUUAUAAACAAAUGAAAUUGAAUUAGACAAUGGCGAAUUUUACUUCACAGAAUAUGAAUAAUUGGACGUGUUUACAAAAAGUAAAAUCCGCCGUUACCUAUUUCAAUUUCACUUGUUCAUAACUUUGAAAUAAAGUGUUUCAUACCCAACUUUAAAUAACAUUUUUUUCUUAUUCCUGCUAGUAGAAUAUGCUUCCGCAGUCUGCCCGGAAAAACCCAGGACACCCUGUAUAUGCUGCAUACAAUUAGUAAAAAUGGAUAAUACAUGCUGAUUAUAUUCUGCCCUCACCUACUGCCGUUGUGAGGGAUGCGUAGGAUGGUGAAUCACUGGUGCCUAGUGUAGUCAGAGUAGAAGAACAGAGGUGCAUGUUUUUCAGCAGCAUGGAAAGGGCCAAAUCUCUACUCAAACACUAUAAUUUUUCAAACUGAUCCUGAUACUCACCCUUAAUAUAAAACGACUUGGAAGAAGUCGUUUAAUGACUUAUACUCGCAUGACAGUGUUUAUACUAAUUGUUACAAAACUAACAUUUCAAAUUUAAUGGAUGUUUAUAUGUUUGUAAUGAAUAAUUUUACAUCCAAUAUAGAUGAAAUAAUAAUAUAAUAAAUCUGUUUUAUCGAAAACUCACCUGUAACAGUAAUAAAAUGUGGAGAGCCACCAACGAUAGUACCAGCUGAUGUGGAUGCAGCGUCAGAAUCAACGAGAGUGUGUUGACCUGAAUGAGUAGUAUUCACUACAACUUGGGCUGUAACAUGUGCUGGAGUACCUGUUGAGCCGUUGGAAGAAUCUGCAGCUGUUUCAAGCGGAUCCUGAACCAAUAACUGUAUUAUUAUUUAUAGUAGGCAUGUCCUCUGUAUCAACGGUAAUGUUCUAUAUAUUAACAUAAAUAUUUAGUAAGCAGUACAAGUUUAAAUAUUAUGUAAUUAAUAAAGAAAAUUAAUUUUUGAGAAAAUUAUAACGCAGCUGUAUAUAAAAUAUUAAUAGCACAUCUUAAAACAUCUUACAAGUAAUAUUAUUGUAACAUUAAUUACAGUAACAUUGAAAUAAUAAAGUAUCACGUAAUGUAACAAACCUGGAUAGGUUGUAGAUUGUUUGGACUGGAAGGAUCAGGACUGGUAACAACAGUGAUAAGUUGCUGGCCCCUUGUCGAUUGACUCUGUGCUGCACUACCACUGCCACUGGAACUGGAAGUAGUCACGACAACAACGCUUGACUUAGGUUCCACCCCCACUGUUGCAGAGUUACCCCCACUAUUAUUAGCUCUGGUGGAUGCUGCGAGGGCAUACUGGGCUCCUGUCGUAGUCAUGGCAAUCACUCCUUCACCUCUCUCUGCUCCCACGAUAUUACUACUACUGCUACCUCUCCGUUUCUGGAGAGAAGGGUCUGCAACGUAGACAUGUAACACACACAGAUGUACCAAAUAUCAAUAACGUCUUCCAACAGACUCAAAGCUUGAACAACUACUAUAAUAAUCUUUCAUUAAUUUAAUCACUUUGAAAAGUACAAUUCUCAAGGUAAAUAGUUAACUAAUGAGUUACAGGAAUAAAAUAUUAGGCUUGUAAUAUAAAAUAACAAAAGAUUGGAUCAUCUUAGAAGGAAUAAGCAUUGUUUACAUUUUAUAUGUAAAGUAGAAUAUUCUAUAACAGAUAUACAGCAUACAUUGAUUACAUGUUAUAACUGUCAUUUAUAUAUGUUCUAUAAGUAAGAAAUGAAAGAAGAUGAUAAAUUAAAUAGGGUCAAAAAUUGUCGACGCCCGAAGUGGACAUUAGAUACACCGAUGUACAUAUUAAUAAGUACCCUAACCUACAUAAAAAAAAACGAUCGGUACGUAAUUUCUUGCAGGUGUGCAGCAUUCAAUAAUCUAUAGAUCAAAGGGAAGCCCUGAAGAGCUUCCAAUACAAAUGAAACAUGACAUUGUAGUUACAACGUGUAAUGUAUCAAGAUGUGUUAGUGCACCCUGUACCUGUAGGGUGGCAGGUACCAAACACAAUGUUUCAAAGGGAAGGAAACGAAAGGGAGAAGGGUAACAGCUAAAACGCACUAUACGCGUGACUGGACAUGUAGGGUCCUUUUGGGGGGGGGGUUAAAAGUAUCAGUAAAGAAGGUCAGAUUAUAAAUGCAAUUAGAGAGUAUUAAACUCCUUUCCCAUUGAUAAUAACACAUUUAAUAGUUAGCACAAAUGUUCCUGAGACGAAUGAAGGAUUUACGGGUACAAAAGGAUGAAACGUUUUAGUUCAUAUUACACUCGUCCCUCAAUUUACAUAGUAAUUUUUUUUACGUGUAAAUUAGAACACUAUUUACGCGGUAGUUUUUAUGCGCAAUCUGAAUUUAGUAACACCGAAUAAAACGUACUUUUGUUUUUUCAAAUGUAUUAUUAUUAUUUUUUGUUAAGCUAUGUGAAAUGAAUAUGUAUUUGUAAAACUUAUACCAGCUUUUCUUUCCAAUAUACUUGUUUUCCUUGUACCAACAAACUCUAUUUACGCGAUUCGCGUAAAACGAAUCUACGUAGAACAGAUUUUCGCGUAAAUCGAGGGUCAGGUGUAUAAAGUUCUUUUUUCUAUUUAUAAUGAAUGGAAAAAGAGAAAAAAAUAUUUUGCAUGAAUCUUCUUUAACAUAAGGUACUGUGUCAUUCUACAAAAUUGUAAUUACAUUGGGAAACAUACUGUGUGUGCACCUGGCUUGUUACGCAUGACUGGUGCUUGGGACUGUUCUGCAUACCUUAUCUAUUAUCCUGCAUUGCAUGUUCCCUGUUCUUUUAUUAUAUUAAAAUAUUUAUACAGUUAAAAGCUUAUAAGUUUAAAAUAAGUUAACGAUCAAAUAGUUUAUCAUCAGCUGAAUGCUUGAGAAUAGCUGCUUUAAAAUUGCACCACCUUUUUUAUG